UACGUAGGGGGCUAGCGUUGUCCGGAAUCAUUGGGCGUAAAGCGCGUGUAGGCGGCCCGAUAAGUCCGCUGUGAAAGUCCAGGGCUCAACCCUGGGAUGCCGGUGGAUACUGUCGGGCUCGAGUCCGGAAGAGGCGAGUGGAGUUCCUGGUGUAGCGGUGAAAUGCGUAGAUAUCUGGAGGAAUACCGGUGGCGAAGGCGGCAUCCUGGACCGGCAUUGACGCUGAGGAGCGAAAGCUAGGGGAGCAAACGGG
rnacentral:rRNA from 1 species